GGAGGGAGCAGGUGGAGGUCAGUGGAGCUGCUCUGCUGCUGAGGCCAGGGGACAGCAAGGACUUCGGGGGAAAAAAUACACUGGAUCUGACUGUUGCAGCUGGAAAAAACCUUAAGACUCAGAACAAAACCCAAAACGAGUGUAACCCUGCACUUUCUGCAACAAAAUAAGGUACCAUACACGCAUAAUGAAAUGGACAGCAAAUGAGUAGACAGAAAAAACAACAAACCCCACUUUCAUUCUCCUUGCCAAGCAACGCAAGCACCUUAUUUUAUUUCCUAACAACUGUGAUGACAGCAGCCCACGAGUAACCAGACACCUGGUGGAGCAGAAGUUCUGUGUUGCACUCCGAGGGGAACAAAUGGCCCAGGACAGCUGGGGCACGGCCAGCAGGAGUCCCAGGGCAGAGCUCUCACCUCAGGCACUGUGACUGCCCAGGAAUGAAAGCAGCCUCCCCGGGGGAAGUGAAAGAGGAGUGUGCCACCAGCCCUCGAAGGAAAGGAGCUGUGGGGGCAGCCACCUGGAGUGGAUGAGCCUCACAGCUCAGGAUUUGCAAACAGAACUCAACACUUUAAUAAGGGGCUGCAGUCAGGCAGAAAUGCAGUGAGGUGUACAGUGAGUUUCACAUGAGGCACUGCAGGGUUUGGAUGGAUUGCACAGGAGCUCCAGUCCCCUGCAGCAGUGCCAGAGAGGUUUAAAAUCAGUUUUACAUGAGGCACUGCAGGGUUUGCAUGGAUUGCACAGGAGCUCCAGUCCCCUGCAGCAGUGCCAGAGAGGUUUAAAAUCAGUUUUACAUGAGGCACUGCAGGGUUUGCAUGGAUUGCACAGGAGCUCCAGUCCCCUGCAGCAGUGCCAGAGAGGUUUAAAAUCAGUUUUACAUGAGGCACUGCAGGGUUUGCAUGGAUUGCACAGGAGCUCC